AGGUUUGUUUAACAUGCAAAAAUGGUGUUCAGUCUGAAGGUGAUUCUCUUCCUAUCCUUGCUUCUCUCGCCUGUAUUGAAAAGCUCACUGGUAACUUUGAAUAACAAUGGAUAUGAUGGCAUUGUCAUUGCAAUUAAUCCCAGUGUACCAGAAGAUGAAAAACUCAUUCAAAACAUAAAGGAAAUGGUAACUGAAGCAUCUACUUACCUGUUUCAUGCCACCAAACAAAGAGCUUAUUUCAGGAAUGUAAGCAUUUUAAUUCCAAUGACCUACAAAUCAAAAUCUGAGUACUUAAUCCCAAAACAAGAAUCAUAUGACCAGGCAGAUGUCAUAGUUGCUGAUCUUUACCUGAAAUACGGAGAUGAUCCCUAUACACUUCAAUAUGGACAAUGUGGAGAUAAAGGACAAUAUAUACAUUUUACUCCAAACUUCUUGUUGACUAAUAACUUGGCUACCUAUGGGCCUCGAGGUAGAGUAUUUGUCCAUGAGUGGGCCCAUCUCCGGUGGGGAGUAUUUGAUGAGUAUAAUGUGGACCAGCCAUUCUAUAUUUCCAGAAGAAACACUACUGAAGCAACAAGAUGUUCCACUCGUAUUACUGUUUACAUGGUUUUGAACGAAUGCAAGGGGGCCAGCUGUAUAGCACGACCAUUCAGACGUGACUCAAAGACAGGGCUGUAUGAAGCAAAAUGUACAUUUAUCCCAAAGAGAUCCCAGACUGCCAAGGAAUCCAUUGUGUUUAUGCAAAAUCUUGAUUCUGUGACUGAAUUUUGUACUGAAAAAACACACAAUAAAGAAGCUCCAAACCUAUAGAACAAAAUGUGCAAUCACAGAAGCACAUGGGAUGUAAUCAUGAGCUCUGAAGAUUUUCAGCAUUUAUCUCCCAUGACAGAAAUAAAUUUACCUCGUCCUACAUUUUCAUUGCUCAAGUCCAAACAGCGUGUAGUCUGUUUGGUACUUGAUAAAUCUGGAAGCAUGAAUGCAGAAGACCGUCUCUUUCGAAUGAAUCAAGCAGCAGAAUUGUACUUGAUUCAAAUUAUUGAAAAGGGAUCCUUGGUUGGGUUGGUCACAUUUGACAGUUUUGCUAAAAUCCAAAGUAAGCUCAUAAAAAUAAUUGAUGAUAACACUUACCAAAAGAUCACUGCAAACCUGCCUCAAGAAGCUGAUGGUGGCACUUCAAUUUGCAGGGGACUCAAAGCAGGAUUUCAGGCAAUUCCCCAGAGUAAUCAGAGUACUUUCGGUUCUGAAAUCAUAUUACUAACAGAUGGGGAAGAUUAUCAAAUAAGCUUAUGCUUUGGAGAGGUAAAACAAAGUGGCACAGUCAUCCACACCAUUGCUCUGGGGCCGUCUGCUGACGAAGAACUGGAGACCCUGUCAAAUAUGACAGGAGGACAUCGUUUUUAUGCCCAUAAAAACAUAAAUGGCCUUAUUGAUGCUUUCAGCAGAAUUUCAUCUAGAAGUGGCAGCAUCUCUCAGCAGGCUCUUCAGUUGGAAAGUAAAACUUUGAAUAUCCCAGCGAAGAAAUGGAUAAAUGGUACAGUGCCUGUGGAUAGUACAGUUAGAAAUGAUACUUCCUUUGUUGUCACAUGGACGAUACAAAAGCCAGCAAUAAUUCUUCAAGAUCCAAAAGAAAAAAAUAUACUACCUCAGAUUUUCAAGAAGGUGAACUAAAUAUUCGGUCUGCCCGUCUUCGAAUACCAGGUAUUGCAGAGACAGGCACUUGGACUUACAGCGUUCGAAACAAUCAUACCAAAUCUCAAUUGCUAACUGUGACAAUGACCACUCGAGCAAGAAGCCCUACCACACUCCCAGUAAUUGCAACUGCUCACAUGAGUCAAAAUACAGCUCAUUACCCUAGCCCAGUGAUUGUUUAUGCAUGAGUCAGUCAAGGGUUUCUUCCUGUUCUGGGAAUCAAUGUAACAGCCAUUAUAGAAAAUGAAGAGGGACAUCAAGUAACAUUGGAGCUCUGGGACAAUGGCGCAGGUGCUGAUUCUGUCAAGAAUGAUGGCAUCUACUCAAGGUAUUUUACAGAUUACCAUGGAAAUGGUAGAUACAGUUUAAAAGUGCUUACCCAGGCAAGAAAAAACACAGCUAGGCUAAGUCAACAACAGAAUAAAGCUCUGUAUGUACCGCGCUAUGCUGAAAAUGGAAAAAUUAUACUGAACCCAUCCAAACCUGAAGUCACAGAUGAUGUGGAAGGAGCUCAAACAGACGACUUCAGCAGACUCAUCUCUGGAGGGUCGUUUACUGUAUCAGGAGUGCCUCCUAAUGGUAAUCAUUCUCAGGUGUUCUCACCUGGUAAAAUUGUAGACCUCGAGGCUAAGUUUCAAGGAGAUCAUAUUCAACUUUCAUGGACUGCCCCUGGCAAGGUCCUCGAUAAAGGAAGAGAAUCAAAAAAAGUGAAAAAUAC
ensembl:lncRNA CLCA3P chloride channel accessory 3, pseudogene